rnacentral:rRNA from 1 species
AGUGAACGCUGGCGGCAUGCCUUACACAUGCAAGUCGAACGGUAACAGGUCUUCGGAUGCUGACGAGUGGCGAACGGGUGAGUAAUACAUCGGAACGUGCCUAGUAGUGGGGGAUAACUACUCGAAAGAGUGGCUAAUACCGCAUGAGAUCUACGGAUGAAAGCAGGGGAUCGCAAGACCUUGUGCUACUAGAGCGGCCGAUGGCAGAUUAGGUAGUUGGUGGGAUAAAAGCUUACCAAGCCGACGAUCUGUAGCUGGUCUGAGAGGACGAUCAGCCACACUGGGACUGAGACACGGCCCAGACUCCUACGUGAGGCAGCAGUGGGGAAUUUUGGACAAUGGGCGCAAGCCUGAUCCAGCAAUGCCGCGUGCAGGAUGAAGGCCUUCGGGUUGUAAACUGCUUUUGUACGGAACGAAAAGCCCUGGGUUAAUACCCUGGGGUCAUGACGGUACCGUAAGAAUAAGCACCGGCCAACUACGUGCCAGCCGCCGCCGUAA